GCAUUUCCAGAUUUCGACCGCUAGUCGAAAUGGCUGGUGACUUUAUUGUCACCGGCCU
rfam:Marinomonas posidonica IVIA-Po-181, complete genome.